AUUGAACGCUGGCGGCAUGCCUUACACAUGCAAGUCGAACGGUAACAGGUCUUCGGAUGCUGACGAGUGGCGAACGGGUGAGUAAUACAUCGGAACGUGCCCAGUAGUGGGGAUAACUACUCGAAAGAGUGGCUAAUACCGCAUGAGAUCUACGGAUGAAAGCAGGGGAUCGCAAGACCUUGUGCUACUAGAGCGGCCGAUGGCAGAUUAGGUAGUUGGUGGGAUAAAAGCUUACCAAGCCGACGAUCUGUAGCUGGUCUGAGAGGACGAUCAGCCACACUGGGACUGAGACACGGCCCAGACUCCUACGGGAGGCAGCAGUGGGGAAUUUUGGACAAUGGGCGAAAGCCUGAUCCAGCAAUGCCGCGUGCAGGAUGAAGGCCUUCGGGUUGUAAACUGCUUUUGUACGGAACGAAAAGCCCCGGGUUAAUACCCUGGGGUCAUGACGGUACCGUAAGAAUAAGCACCGGCUAACUACGUGCCAGCCGCCGCGGUAA
rnacentral:rRNA from 1 species